GAUGCAAAAAAAAAAAAAAAAAAAAAAAAAAACAAAAACUCCAAAAAACGGCCAAUAUAAAUGUUAGCUGCUUUUUGCCACCAUCCUUCUGUCCCCAUGUGCCAUCACAUCGCUUGUUCAGCAGCUGGUCUACUUUACUAGCCAGAGACAAGGUUUUAUUCAUUAUUUGCUACUGAGUUGGGACCAAGACUCCAGCAAGGGAAGAAAUCCUAGGAGUCAUCUUCCCAUUCUAAUUAGAGUAUAACUACUUAUAGCUGAGAGAAUUUGUUGGGAGCCGUGGCACUGUCAAGUCAUCAGACGCGGUGAUUGCGAGGCCUGUGGGAAAGUACAAAAGCCUGGGCUAGAUUACCCCUCUCAUCGAGCCCGCCUGUGUGGCACCUGUUUCUUAUCACCCCACUAAGUUCCCGCCUCACAGGGUAGUCUGCCUAGCUAUUAAUCCUAUAUAUAGCCAGUGCCUCCACCCCCGAGAGAGAGAGAGACUGAAGCACAAAAGGAGCCGCGGGGAGCGGACCGGUAGAGGCUUCGGGGCAGACUGAAGCACGGAAGGAGCCGCGGAGAGCGGACCGGUAGAGGCUUCGGGGCAGACUGUAUAAGGAGAGAAUAAAGAAAAGCCUGACCACCGCCAGACCUUGUCGUGUGUCUUUCCUGCCGGCCGGGAGCGGACAUCGACAUUUGGAGGCCCGCACGGGGAUUGAUCAACCCCGAGACGCGGCGGUGGACUGCAUUCUCCUACACAGUGCUGCAGCUGCAGGACAGGAAUCGGGACGAGAGCCAAUGUGGGUCCCAGAGAGGUUGACGCGACAAGUCCCUCGACUGAAGAUCAGGCCUGUUCCACCAGAGGCCAACCGCAGAUCCAACAACAAGAUGAGCCCUAAAAGAACUGCAGGACAAUCCCUUUUUGGGGGCCUGGAACGGCUUGCUCCCCUAUGUGCUACCCUUGUAUACGCAUGGCUCGCUCGCAUGGCCUACGACCGCGUUUAAAAGUGACAGGCUUCCCACAUUCUCCUCCCUAGACAACAACAUGUAGCAGGGUGGGUGAGUCAAUGACGGGUAAGAGCGUGCCUCCCCAGCACGACUCAACCUAAGCCAGGCCCUACCCCGUUCCGCUCGAAAGCCGCUGGAUUGUUAGAUAAAUUUCUCUCCGAGGGGAUUCGUGGAGAGAAAUGAGUGCAUGCCUAUGUGCAACCAGGUUCCGUCCGGUUCAUUCCUGGCCCUAGAAAAAAGGACGAGGGCCUCAGGGCCUUGGUGGACCCUGGGACGGCCGACCAGGGUCUAUGCUAAGGGCCUACGGUGGGCCUCAGUUCGGGGCAUAGGCCUCUGCACUCUAUCCAGGACGGGCUGCGAUGCGCGUAGCCAUCAUUUAAAAUAAAAUAGGGGGAGAUGUUGGGAGCCGUGGCACUGUCAAGUCAUCAGACGCGGUGAUUGCGAGGCCUGUGGGAAAGUACAAAAGCCUGGGCUAGAUUACCCCUCUCAUCGAGCCCGCCUGUGUGGCACCUGUUUCUUAUCACCCCACUAAGUUCCCGCCUCACAGGGUAGUCUGCCUAGCUAUUAAUCCUAUAUAUAGCCAGUGCCUCCACCCCCGAGAGAGAGAGAGACUGAAGCACAAAAGGAGCCGCGGGGAGCGGACCGGUAGAGGCUUCGGGGCAGACUGAAGCACGGAAGGAGCCGCGGAGAGGCUUCGGGGCAGACUGUAUAAGGAGAGAAUAAAGAAAAGCCUGACCACCGCCA